GCUGGGUGCGGUGGCUCACGCCUGUAAUCCCAGCACUUUGGGAGGCUGAGGCAGGUGGAUCACCUGAGGUCAGGAGUUCAAGAUCAGCCUGGCCAACAUGGUGAAACCCUGUCUCUA
rnacentral:SRP_RNA from 1 species